rnacentral:rRNA from 1 species
UACGUAGGGUGCGAGCGUUGUCCGGAAUUAUUGGGCGUAAAGAGCUUGUAGGCGGUUUGUCGCGUCUGCUGUGAAAAUCCGGGGCUCAACCCCGGACUUGCAGUGGGUACGGGCAGACUAGAGUGUGGUAGGGGAGACUGGAAUUCCUGGUGUAGCGGUGAAAUGCGCAGAUAUCAGGAGGAACACCGAUGGCGAAGGCAGGUCUCUGGGCCACUACUGACGCUGAGAAGCGAAAGCGUGGGGAGCGAACAGGAUUAGAUACCCG